rnacentral:rRNA from 1 species
AUUGAACGCUGGCGGCAUGCCUUACACAUGCAAGUCGAACGGUAACAGGUCUUCGGAUGCUGACGAGUGGCGAACGGGUGAGUAAUGCAUCGGAACGUGCCCAGUUGUGGGGGAUAACUGCUCGAAAGAGCAGCUAAUACCGCAUACGACAUGAGGGUGAAAGCGGGGGAUCGCAAGACCUCGCGCAAUUGGAGCGGCCGAUGUCAGAUUAGGUAGUUGGUGGGGUAAAGGCCUACCAAGCCGACGAUCUGUAGUUGGUCUGAGAGGACGACCAGCCACACUGGGACUGAGACACGGCCCAGACUCCUACGGGAGGCAGCAGUGGGGAAUUUUGGACAAUGGGCGCAAGCCUGAUCCAGCAAUGCCGCGUGCAGGAAGAAGGCCUUCGGGUUGUAAACUGCUUUUGUCAGGGAAGAAAUCCUCUGGGUUAAUACCCCGGGGGGAUGACGGUACCUGAAGAAUAAGCACCGGCUAACUCCGUGCCAGCAGCCGCGGUAAAAC